AAACUCAAAGGAAUUGACGGGGGCCCGACAAGCGGUGGAGCAUGUGGUUUAAUUCGAAGCAACGCGAAGAACCUUACCAGGUCUUGACAUCCUUUGACCACUCUAGAGAUAGAGCUUCCCCUUCGGGGGCAAAGUGACAGGUGGUGCAUGGUUGUCGUCAGCUCGUGUCGUGAGAUGUUGGGUUAAGUCCCGCAACGAGCGCAACCCUUAUUGUUAGUUGCCAUCAUUUAGUUGGGCACUCUAGCGAGACUGCCGGUGACAAACCGGAGGAAGGUGGGGAUGACGUCAAAUCAUCAUGCCCCUUAUGACCUGGGCUACACACGUGCUACAAUGGGAAGUACAACGAGUCGCGAAGUCGCGAGGCUAAGCUAAUCUCUUAAAGCUUCUCUCAGUUCGGAUUGUAGGCUGCAACUCGCCUACAUGAAGCCGGAAUCGCUAGUAAUCGCGGAUCAGCACGCCGCGGUGAAUACGUUCCCGGGCCUUGUACACACCGCCCGU
rnacentral:rRNA from 2 species